CAGGUGGUGCAUGGCUGUCGUCAGCUGGUGUCGUGAGAUGUUGGGUUAAGUCCCGCAACGAGCGCAACCCUUGUCCUUUGUUGCCAGCGGGUAAAGCCGGGAACUCAAAGGAGACUGCCAGUGACAAACUGGAGGAGGGCAGGGAUGACGUCAAGUCAUCAUGGCCCUUACGGUCAGGGCUACACACGUGCUACAAUGGGGCGUACAGAGGGAAACGAAGCCGUGAGGUGGAGUAGAACCCACAAAGCGUCCCUAAGUUCGGAUUGGAGUCUGCAACUCGACUCCACGAAGUCGGAAUCGCUAGUAAUCGCAAAUCAGAAUGUUGCGGUGAAUACGUUCCCGGGCCUUGUACACACCGCCCGUCACACCAUGGGAGUGGAUUGCACCAGAAGUAGCUAGCUUAACUUAAUUGAGGGCGGUUACCACGGUGUGGUUUAUGACUGGGGUGAAGUCGUAACAAGGUAACCGGAAAUCACU
rnacentral:rRNA from 1 species